rfam:Aedes aegypti strain Liverpool supercont1.282 genomic scaffold, whole genome shotgun sequence.
CCUCUCAUGGCGUAGUGGUAACGCGCCCCAACUAGAGAUCGGGGAGUCGUGAGUUCGAUUCUCACUGAGAAGA